rnacentral:lncRNA from 1 species
GGGUGACAAUGAACCGAUGUUGUUUAUAUUUAAACAAACGGUUCGACCUGUUGGUGCAAGGAGAUAUAAAUUUAUGGACGUGAAUGAGCUAUCCAAGGCACACUUUUACGUUCUAAAUAAUUGUGAAGAAAUUAAAGAUUUCAUUGAGUAAGUACCAUCUUAGCAUAUGUUUAAUAUUUUAAGUAAUUUUUUCAUAUCGAUG